AUUGCCACUGUAUAUGCAUUAGAAGACCAGCAGAGUUCAGCCCUUUCUGGAGAUGACAUGCCUUGAAUGUUCACCAUAUAUUCAAGCGGGGGCAAUGGAGAGUCCCUUUCAGCUGCAGCAUCCUGUGGCCUUCAGACAACUGAAAUAUCAGUUAUGGAACAGCAACAGGCAGGAGUCAAAGUAUGUGGAGCUAUUUCUAUGACUGAAGAGAAGACAGCUGGUCAGCCACAAAUAUCAUUCUUACAAAUGCAGUUCCAAUAGUCACAUUAUGAAUUAAAAACAGAAGAAUGCAGCUAUCACAUGAGGAACACUCAGCUGGUCCCCUGUUGAACCAGGAGCAAGAGCUGUGCACUCUGGGGGAGGGACGCUGCUCUGUUAGCUGUCAUGACGAAUCCUGAUCCUUUCCUGGUCCUGCCUGUGAGAGGGAGCUGCAGUAGCUCUGGGGGAAGCCUUAAGUCCUUACAAGGAGUGUGGGAGUUUCAAGACUUUUUCUUCCUCUUCUUACCCCCACUGAAGCCAAUUCAGAGUUCAUCCUGUCUGAAUUCACUGUCUGGGGAGGAUGUGCUUUACUGUAGGUGGCUCUGAACUCAGGUUGCAUUUAUUACACUGAUGGCAAUUACAGAGCAGGCAUUGGAAUAGACUGAUGUUCAGUGAGCUGGCCUGCUUGCAAGUUUGCAUGAAGCUUCUCUGCUCUAAGAAACUCAAAGCAUUUUCAAAGAAAACUGAAAUUCCCUCUCACUAUUUUACAAAGGCAGAAACUGAAACCCAGAGAGCUGUGACUUCCCCCACCUCAUCGAGUGAGGUGAUAACAGCUACAGAAAUAGAAUUCGUGACUUCCAGGCCCUCUCCUCCUCCUGACUACUAACACAUUUUGCCACCCAAGAAGACCAUUUGCCAUGUCAUCAUCGAGGCAUAUCUGUGUAACACAGUUUGUCCAUGUAUAAAGCCUUUGUUUUUUGUAAGCCUCACUUCCAUAUCUAUGGGGAAUAACAGCACUUCACUGCUUCAAAGGGGUGGAGAGAAUAACUGAACUCAAGGCUCUGCAAUAUGCAUAUAUGGUAGUGAACACCUUGCAAGUAUUAAUACUUAUAUUUGGAGACUGUACUAUUAAUUCUGUGCCUGACCGCUGCUGUUCAAAGUAUAUACAUUAAUUCCUUCAGCUCAAAUUCUCUGUCUUCCCUCCCUUUUCCAUCCUAGCAGCGUUACAGACACUAACAACAGGACUAUCAGAACCUCUCAGUAUAAGGCUGCAAAAGGAGUGUGUUCAAAGCCAACAUUUUCCAGGUGAUUCACUGAAUUGCACCAAAGCAUCCUGAGCAUUCCUGUACCUCUUGACAAGCAUCUGCAGGAUGUCAGUCAGGCUUU